CUGACGCUCCUCGUUGUUUGCUCGUCGACGGUCUGCUGCCAUUGAACCACUGCGCUUUGUUACAGUUCGUCCAUCAGGUGGUGGUUUCCUGACAGGGAAGUCCUUCACACCUUGCAUUGACAACGUUCCUCUCAUGCAAGCAUCCAGUCCUAGAGAGGCGUUCAAGAUAUUAUUCCUGGCACACUUUGCGUCAACUUUGCCCACCCAAAAGAGGCAAGUCUUAUCCUGGAGUUCACUCAUAGGUCAAUUGCCAAUGUCAGUCCCGGAAAGGGCACAACGACUGACCAUACACGUGGGAAACAGCACAACCUGAACC